CCCCAUUUCCCUCUGGUUCUGGGUUGGGCGCUAGAGACCCCCCAGGGACUGAACUUUAAAGCAGAAUUGGAAGAAGUUGAUCUGGCACUAGUCUUUUCAAGACUGAGUCCUCAAGCUUGAUUAAGGAUGAUUAAUCUCCUGGAGGAGUCAUUCCCUCAAGUCUGAGGAAUUUGGACUUGAUGAUUGCUCUUAGGGAGUGACUGUAAGUCACGAAGUGGUAACAGUUGUUCUGAAUUUUGUGUACUAUUUAAAAUGAAAGCAGUAUGUGAGGCCCCUGGUUGCU
rnacentral:lncRNA from 1 species